ACACCCCCCUCCCCUUCUCUCUUUCCUCUUCCAUGCUUAACCCUAACGCCGCCUAUGCUCUCCUUCUCUCUCAUAGCAAAAAAUGGCAAACGAUGCAGAGGUCUCAAACCUCAAUAGCUUUUUGCGUAUUCAAAUUCAUGCAACAAUUAAUGGUUUGUCUAUUUCUCACUCAAAAUCGUUCCAAACACGGUUGAGUUUGGGUUGGAAGCAUAAGAGGCUUGCGAAUCCAUUCUUGACAAGGGCUGCAUCGAAAAAAGGUAAUACCCAACCUUUCUUUUACGUUCUUUGUCAUUUUUAUAAGUUAAUAGUUAGAAUGUAUUGUUAAAAUGCUCUUGGUUGCUGGCUUUGUAGUAUAAUUGUUAAAUUAGGUACUGUUUAGCAGGCUUAGAGUAAGCUCUUUACAAACAUGAUACUUUACUUGUGAUUAUUUGGUUUAAGGCGAGUACCCUAGAUCAGUGCUAUACCUUGGCAAAGAUAUUUGAGGCUGUUGGGAUCUGGAAAUGGCUUGUGUGAUCUUGAAUCUUGAUGAGGGUCACAAUACACUAUUAAUAUGUAUAUAUUGAAACAAAAGAGUCUAGUUUAAUCAGAAAUACCUAGAUUGUUGUAAGUUUGCUCAGGGUAUUAGUUUGGUUUACUGUUUGGUGGACACUGCUUAAUGUUAGAAAAUCAUCUUGACAUGUUCUUGGGAUCAACCUUGUAAUAUUUUAUCAUGACAUGCUAAUACCUGUCUCCAAAAGGAAUUCAUGGCUUAAGUAUUUUUAGUUGUGUGUGAGGACCUCUUGAUUUGCCUUAUUUGAACCUAUCUGAGACUGUCACCAGUUUGAUUUGUGAGAUCUCUUUACAAAGUGGGGCUGCCCUGCUUCUACCUUAUCAUGCUUGAGUUGAAAAUUCUUUUAAGACUCUGCCUAAAAGAGUGUGUGCGCAGAUGUGUUGGGUCUUCUAUGGUUGGUGCCACCUUGCUAUACUAAGUAACUUAGACUGCUCUUCUAUGUGAUUUUGUUCUCAUUUCCUGUUAGCUGGUUAACUCUAUGAAUGUGCAAUAAUUGUAUUAACCUGGGUAAAUGAGAUGAAAAGGGAUUAGAGACGCAGAAUGAUCAAACAUUCUUUUCUUCACUAAGUAAGGAACCGCUUCCUUUUUCUGAGAAUCAGCCUGAUUUACUGUCUACUUGUAAAAGCAAGCUAAAUUAAAACAGGGCUAACAAUCUAGUAUGUGUUUCUCUUCUCCCUUGAGGGGAGGUUGAUGUGUCUGGAGCUCUAUUUAAUUGUGCUUUCUUGAUCAGGUCUGACUUAUGAAAAUGAUCAGUUGUUGUUGUUGACAAUAAGUGUAGGGCUAGAGGAGUUGUUGAGUAGACUUAGCCUUAGUAAUUAAUCACUACUAAAAUGAAAGUGGGAAUAGGUAAAUCAAGAAUAGAAUCAUGAUAAGAACAAGUCUAGGUGGUGUUGAAACAAGACUGUAUGGGGGGAAGGGAAAAGUUAGAUCAAUAAUGAACCAUUGGUCUGAUAAAAUGUGAUUACCCUAUUAAUUCAACUUGCUAAAACAUGACUAAGGAGAAAAAGGUGAGACUGUUUAGACUAGAUUGAACCAUGUGCAGGUUAAGUAGGAUUCUGCCUAGAGAAUAGGUUAACAAGGGAGGGGGUUUAGGUCAAUCUUUUGCUAAUUGACUGGUCUCUUAAGAAUUGGACUAGAAACCUAAAAUGUUUGCCAUAUGGCCUAUUCAUGAAAUGCCAUUUUGUUCUUUGCACUUGUAUGUCAGUUUCAGAAGUGUGCUUCAUUUGCCAGUUAAUGCAGCUCUUCCCUUCUCCUUUUGUUUUUCUACUUCUGUGAAAUCUUGUUAUGUUUCAAAGCUCAAGGAUAUGUCCCUUUAGAAAAAUGGAGUAGUUUACUUAAAAACAUAUAAAUGCUUGGUUCAUGGCCAUUUGGUAAAUGGCAGUCUGAGUUUCCUUUGUGCUCUAUUUAGAGGCUCUGAAUGCUGUCUUCUUAAAAAGGAAGUGAUUGAUCCCAUCUCUAAGUUCAAAUUUCCCUCCCUUUGAUCAGUGUUGUUAGAACAUGAAAUGUUUUGUAUGGACUCUGUUGGAAUUUGGCUAGCUUAAAAUAAGAAGGGGAGUUGCCUACUGCCCAAUACCUGAGUAAUUUUAUGUUUUAGACUUGACUUUCAAUGCCCUGUCAAGAUGUUUGAUUGUCUUUAUCUCCUUGACUGUCUCAUGUACACUUUCCAUGGUCUAUCUAAGUGUGGUUUGUGAUAUAACACAACAUUAAUACAUUCUUGAGUUGAUCUAGGGUAGUUCUGCCGAGUGACUUAAGAAAACUUGCUUAUGACAUUUGAUUUGUCUUGUGAACCUGCAUGAACUUGUUGGCUUCUAGUGUUGAAAAAACCUUGACUCUAGCCUAAAUAAUCCCAAUCAUUUAUACACUCUAGUAAUUGAACUUAUUAAGACACUUGGCUGUAAGAAAAGAUAUAUGGUAGCAAAUAGCCUUUAUAAUUGGAAGGGAUUGAAGGCAAACUAAAACCCCAUGGCCAGGAAGUGUCUUUUCAAAAAGAGGUGCUUUGAGAAGGGAUCUAAAGAAGGGGUGAUCAUAACACUGUUGGAUCCACCACAUCUUCCCUUUGUAUAAAAGGCACCAUGGCAUUUUCCUGGGCCUAUGGUGGUGCAUGUUGGCUGAAUACAUACCCCUAAAAUUAUGUAGACUUACUGCUAGAACCUAAAGGAAUAGGUUAAGUCAGAAACACAUAGAUAAAGGUUUAGUAAAGACUUAUUGAUGAACCAAUGAAACAUCUGUGCAUGAUCUCAUUGAAUACCAAGGGAAGGACUUUAAAAGAAGGUAAGAAACUUGAACAAUCACGGGCUAAAACUGAAAUAGAGUUGUUGAGAUUAUUAAAGAUCAUACAGUUUUUCUUUUAAAAGGAACAUCACCCAAAGAGACAAAUGAUGUUAUGUAUAACCCCUUUAUAUUAUAAGUGUAGCUUGCAUUAUUUCUUGCUUGGUGUCUUCGUCUUGUUUGGUCCAAAUGGGAUCUGGAAUUCCUCACCUGUUUCCAUGAUUCAUGUAUCUUGACUUUGACUUAAAGAUAGUCCCUCUCUUAUGAUAGUACCUGUCUGCCUGCUCAGUCUAUACUUGGCCUUUAUAAACCGUGACUUAGGAUGCAUUUCGUUAUUUACUAGGGUCUGUUUGGUUCAUUAUACAUGUUCAGUUUGUAAUUGAGCUUUAUAUUGAUAUUUGCUAUGACUGUACAUUUUAUAUAUAGGAACUGAUAAGUUUACUUGGUAUAAACCACCCCUAGCCUAAAUACCAUGCAUGAUGUAAUGAAUCUGCUCCUGUUUCAUUGAUGAUUAAAGGGCAGUGAUGAAUGUAGGUAUGAAGUAGUGUCUUGUUUCUCAAGAGUUAUAUAUGUACUCCAUCUUGGGAUGAAAGUUAAAACUAUUUAGUGAUAUUGGAUCCUAGCUAUGCACUUGUGCUUGAUUGUGGUAAGGUUGAGGAUCACUUGGGGUUGGCCAAACCUUCCCCCAGUGCCAGCCAUGCCUGGGGUUCGAUGAAACCCCUUGGAUCUUGUGCGACACUUGGAAUAAGGAGGGUGGCAACCACCUAGUAUCACUCCAAUACACUCAGCCACACAUCACUAUAAUGCAUCAUGGGAAAAAAAAAUACCAUGCUAGGACAACUUGGUUCCUCCUAUCUAAAUGUUAUUAUUAUAUGUGUAUAUUUUUAGUGUAUAUCGUGUGAAUUUUCGUAGGAUUCAGUCUAACCUAUUUCCUUUUCUUCCCCCCCCCCCCCCCC